UGGGGAAUUUUGGACAAUGGGCGCAAGCCUGAUCCAGCAAUGCCGCGUGAGUGAAGAAGGCCUUCGGGUUGUAAAGCUCUUUUAGUUGAAAAGAAAAAAUCGUGACUAAUAAUCACGAUUCAUGACGGUAUCAACAGAAAAAGCACCGGCUAACUACGUGCCAGCAGCCGCGGUAAUACGUAGGGUGCAAGCGUUAAUCGGAAUUACUGGGCGUAAAGGGUGCGUAGGCGGUUUUGUAAGUCAGAUGUGAAAUCCCCGGGCUUAACCUGGGAAUUGCGUUUGAAACUGCGAGACUAGAGUGCGGCAGAGGGAGGUGGAAUUCCAUGUGUAGCAGUGAAAUGCGUAGAGAUAUGGAAGAACAUCGAUGGCGAAGGCAACCGUCCUGGGCUAGCACUGACGCUC
rnacentral:rRNA from 1 species